rnacentral:rRNA from 1 species
ACAGAUCGUUCAGAGUUUGAUCCUGGCUCAGGACGAACGCUGGCGGCGUGCCUAACACAUGCAAGUCGAGCGGGGAGGAGGAAGCUUGCUUCCGAAUCCUAGCGGCGGACGGGUGAGUAACGCGUGAGCAACCUGCCUCAAACAGGGGGAUAACGCAUCGAAAGAUGUGCUAAUACCGCGUAAGACCACAGCACCGCAUGGUGCAGAGGUCAAAGGAGCAAUCCGGUUUGAGAUGGGCUCGCGUCCGAUUAGCUAGUUGGUGAGAUAACGGCCCACCAAGGCGACGAUCGGUAGCCGACCUGAGAGGGUGAUCGGCCACAUUGGAACUGAGAAACGGUCCAG